GACGAACGCUGGCGGCGUGCCUAAUACAUGCAAGUAGAACGCUGAAGGAGGAGCUUGCUUCUCUGGAUGAGUUGCGAACGGGUGAGUAACGCGUAGGUAACCUGCCUGGUAGCGGGGGAUAACUAUUGGAAACGAUAGCUAAUACCGCAUAAGAGUAGAUGUUGCAUGACAUUUGCUUAAAAGGUGCAAUUGCAUCACUACCAGAUGGACCUGCGUUGUAUUAGCUAGUUGGUGGGGUAACGGCUCACCAAGGCGACGAUACAUAGCCGACCUGAGAGGGUGAUCGGCCACACUGGGACUGAGACACGGCCCAGACUCCUACGGGAGGCAGCAGUAGGGAAUCUUCGGCAAUGGACGGAAGUCUGACCGAGCAACGCCGCGUGAGUGAAGAAGGUUUUCGGAUCGUAAAGCUCUGUUGUAAGAGAAGAACGAGGGUGAGAGUGGAAAGUUCACACUGUGACGGUAUCUUACCAGAAAGGGACGGCUAACUACGUG
rnacentral:rRNA from 1 species